rnacentral:misc_RNA from 1 species
UGGCUCUAGCAUCGAUGCAGAACGCAGCGAAAUGCGAUAAGUAAUGCGAAUUGCAGAAUUCCGCGAGUCAUCGAAUCUUUGAACGCACAUUGCGCCUGUUAGUAUUCUGAUAGGCAUGCCUGUUCGAGCGUCAUUUCAACCCUCAGGCCCAGCCUGGCGUUGGGGCCCCGCGUCUGCGGACCCCGAAAUAUAGUGGCGGGCUUGCUAUAGGCUUCAGCGCAGUAACUUUCUUCGCUGGGAGUCUUUAGUGGGUUCUUGCCGUUAAAACCCAUAUUUUGUACUGAUUGACCUCGGACCAGGUAGGAAUACCCGCUGA